UGACUUUACUUUAUACAUAUCUUCCAAACUUUUGCUUUCUUUUUAAAAUGUCUCAAUUGGUUGUCGGGCAUUCUUCGUACUAAAACCAAAUGUUCGACCAUAUCUAAACUUUUCACCUGUAAGAAAAUUAUGUGAUUGUCAGUUGCAGUUAUGCACGUGUUGAUGACACAGUGCAUGGCACCUCUGUAAAGUGUGAACUGG